CAUGGUUCUGGGUGUGUAGGAUGUCAGAUACAUGAGGGACCCCUAGGGGGAACUGUCUCAGGGUGGCUGGAAUGGAGGACCAGAGCUUGGGAGAGAGCUGACCUGGCUGAUAGGGUUGAGAGCUGCAGUGGGGGUGGUGGCCAGAGCCACGAGUGUGAAUGGCGAGGUCACCCAGGGAAAGUGAGCAGAGAAAACCCCGUUAAGUGCCAGAAGAAGGAGGAGCCAGAAAGACCUUGGGAGGUGGAAUGUGGCAGAUAAGGGCUGUGGGAGGACAGAUCCAGGGAAGAGGUGACAUCAGAGUCGGGCCUUGAAGAACAGGUGGAUGCGUGGCUGAAGGGAGGGAUGUGGCAGCCUGGGAGAGGCACGAUCACAGAUGGAGGUGUAGAGGAAAUGGAACUGGAGCCGACGUAAAUGGCUGAUCUGCAUGGAAAUGUGUGCCCAGCGAGCAGUGAGACGAGAACUCCCACAACCUUCCUGUGGACAGUGUGGACCCCAGGAUCUCUACAGGUGGCACUAAAGUCAUUUCUGCAUUAGACCAGCUGCCUGGGACCAGGCUGGAUGGCAGGAGCUCCAUCUGGGAGAGGGACCAGCAGUACAUGAGGGGGCAGCCUCAGGACUGUUACCCGAGGGGUGGUCAAUCCUGCUUGGCCCGUGCCACCCCCUUCCUUACAUUUCUACUUUUCCACUGAUUUCCAACUUUCGGUAAGAAAUGUUCAUCACAAAAGUUCUCUUUGUGUAUCUAGAAUUCUACAGACUAAUUUAGAAGUCAGGAAAAUAACUAAAAUAAGAAAGGAUGGAAAACAGAGCAGUGAUUACAAAAAAGAAAAUGACUCUGUAGCUACGGAAAAUCCUAUUAAACAAAACAGACUUAUACUGUAA